rnacentral:lncRNA from 1 species
GAAGAUAGAAGCUUCCUCCAGUGAAGCAGCAGCCCCGGCACUGGGCCUGCAGUGGAGACCGGGAAUGAGAGAAGCCCCUGGCGUGGGCUGGCAAGGACGCAGAGCACGGAGAGCACCUGGGGCAGGGCCGGCGCCAACGGCAUAACACAUGCUGCUGCUCCUCUCCCGCGGGGCCCAUGGAGAUGGCUGGAAGCAGCCCAACGUCAGGGCAGAUCCCUACCUUCACACUCACAUAAGAGAAGAGUGAAGUUUCGGGGACUCCACACCUCAAGGUAGUUCCACCGUGCGAGGUGCUGCGCUCACAGUAUUACUCAUGCACCUUUCUGAUAAGAAAAGUGAAAAUGUGAAGUUGAAAACUGAAGACGCCCAGCAACUUCCUGAAUCCAGCCCUCCACGUCCUGCCCUACGGGACGGACGACUCCCAAAGAGGAAUCGUUGGUGGAAGUCCCAUGUUUCGUUGCCGUUGGAAGGGGGAACUGGUCAAGGGCUCAUCUCUGGACCCACACCCCAUAACCAACAUGGAAGCCUGGAUUUGGCCCUGGAUCAGGCUGGCUCCCCAGGGAAGGGUCCAGUCUCUCCGGGGAGACAUCCCGACUUCGGGUCCUGCUUUCUCUACUGUAAUUCGAGGCUGGCCAUGCCCCUCAGUGGGCCUCAGUUUCCUCACCUGUACAGUGGGGAAAUCCAUAGGACCUACCUCCUGGGAGGGCACUGAGGACCGAGGGAAUGAAUGCCUGUCCAGUGCUCAUGAUCGUGACAAGCACUGCGCAGAAUAAAUCCGGAAUAAACGCUCACCGGGUGAGGGAGGGCAGGGAAGAUUUCUAAAAUCCCCCUGAUUUGAGAUGAGAUCUGAUUCACCCACUUAAAAAACCACAUUGGGAAAUAAUUUGAAAUGUACAGGAAAGUUGUAAGAAUCGCACAAAGAAUACUCCCAAACGUUUUGCCCAUACUCACCUGUUUUCUGUGGCAACUUUGAGACAGAAUUCACACGCCAUACAGUUGACCCAUCUCAACUGUACAAUUCAAUGGCCUUUCAUAGUCAGAGUUGUGCAACUGUCACCAGGGUCAAUUUUAGAACGUUUUCAUCACUCUCCUCUCACAAAAAACCCCUCACGUCCCUUGGCUGUCACUCUGCACCUAUUAAUAUUUUUUUGUGUUAAGACUUUUUCUUUGAGAUGGAGUCUCAGUCUGUUGCCCAGGCUGGAGUGCAGUGGCGUACAUCUCGGCUCACAGUAACCUCCACCUCCUGGGUUCAAGCGAUUCUCCUGCCUCAGCCUCCUGAGUAGCUGGGAUUACGGGUGCCCGCCUCCACGCCCGGCUAGUUUUUGUAUUUUUAGUAGAGACAGGGUUUCACCAUGUUGGUCAGGCUGGUCUCGAACUCCUGACCUCGUGAUCCACCUGCCUUGGCCCCACAAAGUGCUAGGAUUACAGGUGUGAAACACUAUGCCCGGUAAAUGUUAAGACUUUUAUGCAUCUUCUUGACCUGUGGUCUUCAGCAUUUGAGUCUUAGGGGACCUUUAAAAUAUUAAGAUAGGCCAGGCACAGUGGCUCAUGCCUGAAAUCCCAGAACUUUAGGAGGCUGUGGUGAGACGAUUGCUUGAAGCCAGGAGUUUGGGACGAGCCUGGGCAUCAUAGUGAGACCCCCAUCUUGGCAAAAAAGUAAACAUAAAAAAUAUUAGCUGGGCAUAGUGGCGAGCAUCUGUAGUUCUAGCUAAUUGGGAGGCUGAGGUGGCAGGAUCCCUUGAGCCCAAGAGUUCAAGAGUAUAGUGAGCUAUGAUUGUGCCACUGCACUCCAGCCUGGGCAAUAGAGUGAGACCCUGUUUCUAAAAAACAAAAGCCAUACUAAAAUACUCUGCAAAGACCUCAUAUUCAUUUAUUCACUCAACAAAUGUUUGUUGAGCACCUGUUUUAUGCCAAGUCCAAUACUAGGAGCUCUGGUUGCAACAGAGAGCAAAACAGACACGGCCCUGCCAGUCACCUGGGGCAGGGAAUCCCCCUGCCCCACUCCCUGCAAUAAUCGAUUGUAGAGAAGAAUUAGCAAAUCACAGCUGAGAAGGGUCUGCUGGAAAACACAGCAGAGGCCUUGACUUUGCCUGAUGAAUGGAGGUGGGCUUCCUGGCAGAGGGGCGUCUGUGGGUGAGGGAGGAAGUAGGACUGGCUGGUCAGAGGGGACGGCACACAGGAAGCUGCUGAGCAGGCAGGAGUGUGCUCCGUGGAGGAGCUAGGAGGAGGCCAGUUCUUAGCUGGAGGGUGGAGAAGGAGGGCUAAAGCCAAGCAUGCAGAGGCCGAGGGAUGUGCAGCGCCGGUCAGCCCACGUGAGAUCUUUCCUCCCUCUCCGUGGACUGGGAACCUCCAUAGUUACCACAUGCUGCGCUGACUUCUCUAACACGCUUUGGCCAAUGAUGUUUCCCUAAUCACAGCAGCUCCUCAUUUAGAAUGUGUUCUUAUUUAGGAUGCGUUCGAGUCUCUGUGAUCUGAACUCCACAUGAGGACUCCCUGGGUCCCUCAGGAACCCAUGUCCUACCAGUUAGACUCCCUUGUUUUAGACCCCUUAUUUCAGCAUUUUAUAAACUCUGUCCCGUAGGAUACUGACCCAUUUGCAACUUAGCCAAAAAAAUGAAAGUUAUGUAGCCAAACAAGCUUUGAAAAUACCCCAUUUCUUUCUGGACGUUUCACAAUGCACAGGAGCAUAUUAAAGGCUCUGAUAAGUCCUGCAGCAAAGAACCAAGUGCUUCCCA